CUGUCCUUCCAGCUGCCACCAGUUUCUGGGUUGUCGAGUGAUACCCUGAAAGUUUACAGUCAACACUCCUUGUGUGGGGUCAGUCCUAGAAAUGGCGACGCUGCUCUCCGAAGAUAGGAAAGAAAAGGACCUCAUUCCAUUGAGCCAUUGACCGAAAUAUUUUCUCAACAAAGUUGAACUGAGCUGAAACUGUGUGAAUCAUGGCAAUACAGUGAAAGACAGUGAUUUACUGCUUUUGAGGGCGUGCAUGUAUAUGAUUAACGGAUGGAAGUGCAGGACUCCAAGAUUUACUUCCUUCCCUUUCCAGCAGAAUUACCUGAGACGAGUAAAAUCUACUGGUGGAGUCACUCCAUUAUUCUUAUCUGUGGAGAUCUAGAUCUUGAUUUGAAAGUUUCUGAGAAAAUCUUCAGCUCAGACUUGAGGGUCAACUUUACCAGCUGAAGGAUCUGCAUUUACUGCUCAACCACAUCUAAUUUGAUGUCCUCUGCAGAUUUAAAAUGUGUGCCUUCUUUUCCGUCACCAAGUCAUCCCUGGGUUACUACUGAACAUCCUUCUCAAUUCCCCCCGACCCAUGGAUGGCUGUUCUCCAUUGUCUGUUUCACCAGAUGUCCUCAAAACAAACAGACAGAAGAAGGAAGUGGCUAAUGGAGCUGUGGAGUCCAAGUGUGACUGCCAAGAGGAAUCCAGCAAAGCCAAAAAGCCCAAGCAUGUAGCCCUGCCCGAAGCACGCCACACGCAUGGAAAACCCAGAGGAAAUGAGUGAGGAUCAAUGGGAAGAAGAGAGCCAGCCAGGAAGUUGAAGAUUUGUCCAGGAGCAGAUAGCUGAAGAGAGAGAGAGAGAAGAGAGAACGGCUUACAGCUCAGGUCCUCUCUCCAUGCUUAGGAACCACUACAAAUGCUACUGCCUUGAGUCUCAUUUUGUUUCCCUCUGGAAACCACAUGUGUACCUUGUUUGCAACAGUAUGGGCUCACAGGCAGAAGGAAUUUUCCUUGUCUUGGAUGAGACUUUUGACUUGGACUUUUGGGUUAAGUUCUGGAGACCAGAAGGCCAAAAUCAAAAGUAUGGGCAGGCUUGAUUUCUUUAGAAGACUCCAGCGGAGAACUGUGUCUCCUUGCUUCUGAUUCUACAUCUCCAUCCAUGGGCCACUGUUUCAGCAACCUCAGCCAGUGCAACACAACCUCAGCCAAGAAGAGUAUGCAGAGAAAGGAGUCCCCUACCUGCCACAAAACUGUUGUCUGAAAACUGUCUCAUAUUGUCUCAAGUUGUCAUUCAUUGUGAAUUAGACCUGUUUAACAUGUAAUCUGCAACAUGCUUCACUGUCUAAUUUUCCAGAGCCCCUCAUAUAAGGAACUGUAUUAUUGGUAUAAUCAUCAUGGUGAAGAAGUUGGUAUGUGGGGGAGAGAUGACAGAAACAGAGAGUAAGUCAGAGCUGGCUGCCUGACAGAUAAAAAGGAAAUGACCAAAAAAAAAAAAAA
rnacentral:lncRNA from 1 species